rnacentral:ncRNA from 1 species
GUGUAGAGGCGCAUGUGCCAAGAGUAACAGUUCCAACAGAUAAGGCUGAGAGAAGAACUGGGAAAGGGGUCCAUGCCGAAGAGAAUAAUCCCCUUAUGGAUUAUUUAUCUGGAUGUGCAGUUAAGAGCUGUAUGUCUGUCACCGAUAGAGGAUUUCAGAUAAGCAGGAAUCAGGUGGAGUGCUACGAGA